GACGAACGCUGGCGGCGUGCUUAACACAUGCAAGUCGAACGGAAAGGCCCUGCUUUUGUGGGGUGCUCGAGUGGCGAACGGGUGAGUAACACGUGAGUAACCUGCCCUUGACUUUGGGAAAACUGCAGGAAACUGGGGCUAAUACCGGACAGGAGCUCCUGCUGCAUGGUGGGGGUUGGAAAGUUUCGGCGGUUGGGGAUGGACUCGCGGCUUAUCAGCUUGUUGGUGGGGUAGUGGCUUACCAAGGCUUUGACGGGUAGCCGGCCUGAGAGGGUGACCGGCCACAUUGGGACUGAGAUACGGCCCAGACUCCUACGGGAGGCAGCAGUGGGGAAUAUUGCACAAUGGGCGGAAGCCUGAUGCAGCAACGCCGCGUGCGGGAUGACGGCCUUCGGGUUGUAAACCGCUUUCGCCUGUGACGAAGCGUGAGUGACGGUAAUGGGUAAAGAAGCACCGGCUAACUACGUG
rnacentral:rRNA from 1 species